rnacentral:rRNA from 1 species
UACGUAGGGUGCAAGCGUUAAUCGGAAUUACUGGGCGUAAAGCGUGCGCAGGCGGCUUUGCAAGUCAGAUGUGAAAUCCCCGGGCUUAACCUGGGAACUGCAUUUGUGACUGCAAGGCUGGAGUGCGGCAGAGGGGGAUGGAAUUCCGCGUGUAGCAGUGAAAUGCGUAGAUAUGCGGAGGAACACCGAUGGCGAAGGCAAUCCCCUGGGCCUGCACUGACGCUCAUGCACGAAAGCGUGGGGAGCAACCGGG